GGUAGCACAAGCAGUUGAAAUUGAAUAAUUUGCACCCAUAAAACCGAUAUCCAUAGCAAGCAAGGCAGAUCCCAUGUUUGUAAUCGCAUAUGGGAUAAAGAAGGGGGUUAUUUUUCUGUACCCUUUCUCUAUAAGAGCCUGAACACCAUCAGAAAACACCGUGAGUCCACCCAUGCCUGUUCCCACAAGGACACCAGCCCUCACCUUGUCAAUCUUGCUGUGCCCUUCCGACCCGAC
rnacentral:misc_RNA from 1 species